UGAAUACGAGACGCUAAGGCGUCGAAGUAGUGUAUGUCAUACUUCCAAGAAAAGCUUGCACUGUCAUAGAUAAAAAACGCCUGUACCAUAACCGACACAGGUGGGUAGGUAGAGUAUACUAAGGGGCGCGAGAUAACUCUCUCUAAGGAACUCGGCAAAAUAACUCCGUAACUUCGGGAGAAGGAGUGCCUUAUUCGUAAGGUUGCAAUAACAAGAUCCAAGCAACUGUUUAUCAAAAACACAGGUCUCCGCUAAGUCGUAAGACGAUGUAUGGGGGCUGACGCCUGCCCAGUGCCAGAAGGUUAAAGAAGUUGGUUAGCAAUUGCGAAGCUGAUAACUGAAGCCCUGGUGAACGGCGGCCGUAACUAUAACGGUCCUAAGGUAGCGAAAUUCCUUGUCGGGUAAGUUCCGACCCGCACGAAAGGCGUAAUGAUUUGGAUACUUCUCGGAGAGGGGCUCGGUGAAAUAGACUUGUCUGUGAAGAUGCGGACUACCUGCACCAGGACAGAAAGACCCUAUGAAGCUUUACUGUAACUUGAAAUUGAAAUUGGACUUUAUUCGCGCAGUAUAGGUGGGAGGCGUUGAUUAUAAUCUUGUGGGAUUAUUGGAGCCAUCAGUGAGAUACCACCCUUGUAAUGUUAGAUUUCUAACUUUGAAUCAUUAUCUGGUCAAAGAACAGUUUCAGGCGGGCAGUUUGACUGGGGCGGUCGCCUCCUAAACGGUAACGGAGGCGUACAAAGGUUUCCUCUGAACGGUUAGAAAUCGUAUCUAGAGUGUAAAGGCAUAAGGAAGCUUGACUGUGAGACCUGCAAGUCGAGCAGGGACGAAAGUCGGUCUUAGUGAUCUGACGGUACUGAGUGGAAAGGCCGUCACUCAACGGAUAAAAGUUACUCUAAGGAUAACAGGCUGAUCUCCCCCAAGAGUUCACAUCGACGGGGAGGUUUGGCACCUCGAUGUCGGCUCAUCGCAUCCUGGGGCGGUAGUACGUCCCAAGGGUUGGGCUGUUCGCCCAUGAAAGCGGUACGCGAGCUGGGUUCAGAACGUCGUGAGACAGUUCGGUCCAUAUCCGGUGUAGGCGUUAGAAUAUUGAGAGGAGCCUUCUUUAGUACGAGAGGACCGAGAAGGACAUACCUCUGGUGUACCAGUUAUCGUGCCAACGGUAAACGCUGGGUAGCUAUGUAUGGAGUGGAUAACCGCUGAAAGCAUCUAAGUGGGAAGCCCACCUCAAGAUAAGUAUUCUCAUC
rnacentral:rRNA from 1 species